GCCCAAGUCUAGCCCAACCCACGCAACUAGUCCCAUCUAAAAAUUCACCCAAUCACUAAACUAAAGCAUUACCCAAACUUAGUAUAGGCGAUAGAAAAGUACCCCGGCGCGAUAGAGAGCUGUACCGUAAGGGAAAGAUGAAAUAAUAGUGAAAAACCAAGCAAUAAAUAGCAAAGAUAAACCCUUGUACCUUUUGCAUCAUGAUUUAGCAAGAAUAACCAAGCAAAACGGACUUUAGCUUGCCUCCCCGAAACCCAAGCGAGCUACUUACAGGCAGCUGCCCGAGCGAACCCGUCUCUGUUGCAAAAGAGUGGGAUGACCUGUCAGUAGAGGUGAAAAGCCAAUCGAGCUGAGUGAUAGCUGGUUGCCCGUGAAAUGAAUCUGAGUUCUACCUUAACUUACCCCACCAAUGAACUCCAACCGAUCACCUCUAAUGUGGAAAGUUAAGAGCAAUUUAAAGGAGGUACAGCCCCUUUAAAAAAGAAUACAACCUCCCCUAGCGGAUAAAACCCUCCUAUUCCUUUCCUGUAGGCUUUAAAGCAGCCAACAAUAAAGAGUGCGUCAAAGCUCACUUAUUUAAAGAUCCAAAAACAUCAUGACUCCCUUACUCCUAACGGGCUAACCUAUACCCAUAGGAGAAUUAAUGCUAAAAUAAGUAACCCGGAGACCCUUCCUCCUCUUAGACGCAAACUUACAUCCCUCAAUUAUUAACAGAUCAACCAAUACUACAACCCCUACAAGCCUAAAUAUUAACCUUUCUGUUACCCCAACACCGGAGCGUCCAUCAAGAAAGAUUAAAAUCUGUAAAAGGAACUAGGCAAACCCAGGGCCCGACUGUUUACCAAAAACAUAGCCUUCAGCCAACCAAGUAUUGAAGGUGAUGCCUGCCCAGUGACACAUGUUCAACGGCCGCGGUAUCCUAACCGUGCGAAGGUAGCGCAAUCAAUUGUCUCAUAAAUCGAGACUUGUAUGAACGGCUAAACGAGGUCCCAACUGUCUCUUACAGAUAAUCAGUGAAAUUGAUCUUCCUGUGCAAAAGCAGGAAUAACCACAUAAGACGAGAAGACCCUGUGGAACUUUAAAAUCAGCGGCCACCCCACGAAUAACCCUAACCCUACUGGAUCUACUACCCUAAAACGCUGGCCCGCAUUUUUCGGUUGGGGCGACCUUGGAGAAAAACAAAUCCUCCAAAAACAAGACCACACCUCUUAACCAAGAGCGACAUCUCUACGUGCUAACAGUAACCAGACCCAAUAUAAUUGAUUAAUGAACCAAGCUACCCCAGGGAUAACAGCGCAAUCUCCUUCAAGAGCCCAUAUCGACAAGGAGGUUUACGACCUCGAUGUUGGAUCAGGACAUCCUAAUGGUGCAGCCGCUAUUAAGGGUUCGUUUGUUCAACGAUUAACAGUCCUACGUGAUCUGAGUUCAGACCGGAGUAAUCCAGGUCGGUUUCUAUCUAUGACAAACUUCCCCCAGUACGAAAGGACCGGGAAAGUGAGGCCAAUACCACAGGCACGCCUCCCCCUAAGUAAUGAACCCAACUAAAUUACCAAAAGGCCACUCACCCCUUUACCCUAGAUAAGGGUCA
rnacentral:rRNA from 1 species